rnacentral:rRNA from 1 species
CAGUCGCCGCGGGAAUACGAAGGGUGCAAGCGUUAAUCGGAAUUACUGGGCGUAAAGCGUGCGUAGGCGGUGAGUUAAGUCUGCUGUGGAAUCCCCGGGCUCAACCUGGGAAUGGCAGUGGAUACUGGCUCGCUAGAGUGUGUCAGAGGAUGGUGGAAUUCCCGGUGUAACGGUGAAAUGCGUAGAGAUCGGGAGGAACAUCAGUGGCGAAGGCGGCCAUCUGGGACAACACUGACGCUGAGGCACGAAAGCGUGGGGAGCAAACAGGAUUAGAUACCCCCGUAGUCCCUGUAUCUUAUAC